rnacentral:rRNA from 1 species
UACGUAGGGCGCAAGCGUUGUCCGGAAUUAUUGGGCGUAAAGGGCUCGUAGGCGGCCAACUAAGUCAGACGUGAAAUCCCUCGGCUUAACCGGGGAACUGCGUCUGAUACUGGAUGGCUUGAGUGUGGGAGAGGGAUGGCGGAAUUCCAGGUGUAGCGGUGAAAUGCGUAGAUAUCUGGAGGACACCGGUGGCGAAGGCGGCAUCCUGGACCGGUAUUGACGCUGAUGCGCGAAAGCCAGGGGAGCCAAAGCGGGG